GACGAACGCUGGCGGCGUGCUUAACACAUGCAAGUCGAACGGAAAGGCCCUGCUUUUGUGGGUUGCUCGAGUGCCGAAGGGGUGAGUAACACGUGAGUAACCUGCCCUUAUCUUUGGGAUAACUUCAGGAAACUGGGGCUAAUACCGGAUAGGAGCUCCUGCUGCACGGUGGGGGUUGGAAAGUUUCGGCGGUUGGGGAUGGAUUCGCGGCUUAUCAGCUGGUUGGUGGGGUAGUGGCUGACCAAGGUUUUGACGGGUAGCCGGCCUGAGAGGGUGACCGGCCACAUUGGGACUGAGAUACGGCCCAGACUCCUACGGGAGGCAGCAGUGGGGAAUAUUGCACAACGGGCGGAAGCCUGAUGCAGCAACGCCGCGUGCGGGAUGACGGCCUUCGGGUUGUAAACCGCUUUCGCCUGUGACGAAGCGUGAGUGACGGUAAUGGGUAAAGAAGCACCGGCUAACUACGUG
rnacentral:rRNA from 1 species